CCCUGGCUUGGGGCGCAGGUAGGGGUCCCUAGCGUUGUAGCUUCAGGCUUGGUGCAGGCCGUGGGCGGGCUGCCUAGGCGAGGGAGGCCCUUCCCUCAGGAAGCCUCUGCCCAGAUUCAGUGGUGACUCCCACUGGCGGCACCUGGUGUCCCUUCUGCGCCCCGAGCUGCAGCAUCGCUCUCCACGCUGCUUCCUCUGCUUCUGCGACAGUUCUUCUUCCCUCUCCCUCUCCCUCAAACUCCCAGCCCUGCCUCUGAGUCACCUGCCAUUCCCACCCAGCCUCUGCGCUCUGUAUUCCUGCCAGAACCGGAGACUCAUCUAAUUUCUAUAAUUAAGUGUAUUCAUUUACCUAACGAGCCCAGGAGCACAACAGGUUUGUGAGUCACUGGGUGAGCAGGGGUACACCUUGCGCAGGGGCAGCUGAGGGGAAGUGUGGGGACAGAAGCCAUCUUGCCCCCACCUGCUCCUGCCGCUCCCGGGAAGGGGGCCCUCCACAGCCUGAGGAACAAGGUUGCCUCAGCCAAGACGUUUCCUCUUUCACCUGAUGGGAAUUAGACCUGACAGCAGAGCCGUGCGCCUGGCAAUUUUUAGAGUCAGAUUAUGCAAUUUUGCGGAGAGAAUGACUAAGUAAGGUCCAGAUCUGCUCCUUCCAUGGUCAGCAAAGAUAGGAUGGCAGGGCAGCGUCGGGGCUGGGCAGAGGCUGGGAAAUCUGAGGCUCCCCAAAAGGCGGACUGGGCAGAGCAAAUUAUUGCAUGGGGUUGGGGGUGUUGUGUAAAGCCUGUGCCCGGAGUGUCCCCAUCUCGGCACCUCCCUCAGUCUUGGGCAGACACAGAAAUGUCCUUCUGGAAAGGUCUGUUCAGAGUGGGCACUGGGAUACCCCCACCCUGCAGUGGUUUGUGGGGCCUGCCUCCCACUUGCUCUCAGAAUGAAGUGACCUGACCCAUAAGAAGUGAGAAGAGGGGAUGUGGGGGCCUCCAUGCAACUGCCCUUCAGGAGGGAGCAGGCCCUUGAAGUGACAGGGAUGGGGAAGCCUGUGGAACAGGAUGGAGAUGCGAGGGCCCCUCCCCCAACAGCGAGAGGACUCCCUGGCAUGGAGGGCCUGGGCUCUGACAGGGACACAACGAGCCGGGUGUGCAGGUUCACAGGGAUGCCACCACUGUUUUCUCCUCUGACUUGCCUUUCUGGUUCAGGGAACCGAGGCCGCUAUUUCUGUGGCAGCCCUCAAGUUGUCAGGAGCCCAAGUUUCCACGGCACCCACCGCCUCCUUCCCUCUCUUCCCUCCCACAGGGCUGGGUCUGGCUCAUGGCACCCCUACGGUGGGCACAGAUGUCCCUGGGCGACAAGAUGCAGCAUUGCCAGGCUGGAGCCCUAAUGCCUCGGGGAGCUGGCUCCCACACAUCCCUCCUGGCUCUCUGGCUUCAUCUGGGAGAGAUAGAACCCAGAUAGCAGGAGGGCUGAGUAGACUGUCUGCCCUUACAACCUCUCAGCACCUCUGGGCCUGCCCAGGGCCCUGGGAAAGGGCAGGGUGAGCCCAGGCAUUUGCAGAACCCCUGCAUACCAGGCACUGCCACAGGAAGUGGCUGCCUGUACAGGCGUCAGGCUCACCCAGGCCUUGAGCCUCCCUCCUUGAGAGAAGGCUCUCUCCCACCCACCAUCUGAGAGUAGAGUUUGUUUUCCUUGGGCUAGACUUGGACCUGCACCCACUACUUUGUUGUCAGAUGCCUUUCCCCUGCAGCUGGAGCUCAGCCCCUUCCCACAGAACUGGGAGGCAGUCUGGGUAGGAGUUCACAACCUCGCCUUCCAGUCUGUAGCAGGGUUACUGGCAACCUAGAGACCAAUUUUCAGGGCUUCUGAGAGGUAGAACCAGAAGGAAGGGCACUGCAACCUAGAAGCUGGCUGACAGGAGCCAGAGGGGAGGCCAUGGACUGGCUGCAGGGCCCAGGCUGCCCUUUCACAGAGCUUCCUGGGAGAGGAGGGCCUGCUCUGCUCUGGCCAGCGUCACCCUCUGAAAUCCCUGCCCCACCCCUGGUGGGUCAAAUAGGUAAGAAUCCAGGAUGAGAUUCCUAGGAAGACCCCUCCCCAACUCUCAGAGGUCCCUGAGGAUGGAGAGUCCAUGGAAGCCAGUGGAAAAGCAAUCUAAGGCCAUUAUCUCAGUAUGGGCUGCUCUGCUCCCUGGCUUCUGGGACACUUGACAGCCUUGCUGUGACUCCUUCUGUCUCAUCCUAGACCCAUCCUAGACCCCUCAGUAGCCCAGGCAUUCUCACCGGUGCAUCUUAGGGCCUAAUUGCCUACUGGGAGCCCAGAGGCACUUCCCUGUCCCCUAAUGAGUGGGGAUCAGUGGCAGGUGUUGCUUAAGUUACGCAGACAGGAGUACAGGGCAAGACCACAGCUCUGUCUGCGUGUCCUCAGAAAUGGGGCUCUGAAGAACCCUGAAUUCCUCUGAUUUCAAGGAUAGUACUCAGAGGCCCAGAACACUUGUAGGCAAAGGGGCAGUGUUUAAGGAGGUGGCUGGGGCAUACAGUCUUAAGAAGAUGGAAACAGCAUCACCCCAAGAUGAGGACACCCCUUCCCUAGAAAGGUGAUGGAGGCACCCCGAAGCCCAGGAUGGAAGCUGUGAGGUCUGGAUGCCACAUCUGCACUCCACCUUGACAGGAGGCCUAGCCCUAGACCUCAGACCCGAGAGCUGCAGGGGUUGUCCCAGCGGGUCUGGAACUCCCACCUCCACUGUUGACCCAGAUCUGCAGCUGGGACAGCAGUACUCCUACCUGCCCUACCUGUGCUCCCACUGGUAAGGUAGGGGAAGGAAAGGCCCAGGUGGUAGACAUCCCAG
rnacentral:lncRNA from 10 species